rnacentral:lncRNA from 1 species
CACGUCCACCAGCAUGACCACGGCGUCGUCGUCCAGAAGGUCGAGGACGACGUGAAGACCGAGACCCCACCCCCAGCGCCGGAGGAGGAGAAGAAAGGCCUGCUGGACAAGAUCAAGGAGAAGCUCCCCGGUGGCCACAAGAAGCCCGAAGACGCUGCCGCUGCCGCACCGGCCGUCCACGCGCCGGCGCCGGCGCCGCACGCCGAGGAGGUGAGCAGCCCGGAUGGCAAGGAGAAGAAGGGCUUGCUGGGCAAGAUCAUGGACAAGAUACCCGGUUACCACAAGGGCGAAGACCACAAGGACGCCGCCGGCGAGCACAAGACCAGCUCCUAAGGUCGCCCGCAGCGUGUGUCCUCCUGGCCGGGCCAUGAUCGAUCAGAAGCGUUGGCGUGCGUUUUGAGUUCUGGUUUGCUUUUAGCAAGUU